rnacentral:rRNA from 1 species
UACGUAGGUGGCCAGCGUUGUCCGGAUUUACUGGGCGUAAAGAGCGCGCAGGCGGUCGUUCAAGUCGAGUGUGAAAGCCCCGGCUCAACUGGGGAGGGUCACUCGAUACUGAUCGACUUGAAGGCAGGAGAGGGAAGCGGAAUUCCCGGUGUAGUGGUGAAAUGCGUAGAGUAUCGGGAGGAACACCAGUGGCGAAGGCGGCUUCCUGGCCUGUUCUUGACGCUGAGG